rnacentral:rRNA from 1 species
CCUACGGGAGGCAGCAGUGGGGAAUAUUGGGCAAUGGGCGCAAGCCUGACCCAGCAACGCCGCGUGAAGGAAGAAGGCUUUCGGGUUGUAAACUUCUUUUGUCAGGGAAGAGUAGAAGACGGUACCUGACGAAUAAGCCACGGCUAACUACGUGCCAGCAGCCGCGGUAAUACGUAGGUGGCAAGCGUUUUCCGGAUUUACUGGGUGUAAAGGGCGUGUAGCCGGGUUGACAAGUCAGAUGUGAAAUCCUGCGGCUUAACCGGAGAACUGCAUUUGAAACUGUUGAUCUUGAGUACUGGAGAGGCAGACGGAAUUCCUAGUGUAGCGGUGAAAUGCGUAGAUAUUAGGAGGAACACCAGUGGCGAAGGCGGUCUGCUGGACAGCAACUGACGGUGAGGCGCGAAAGCGUGGGGAGCAAACAGGAUUAGAUACCCCAGUAGUC